rnacentral:pre_miRNA from 1 species
UCUUCAUUCCACGUGCUCUCUCACCGGUAAGACAGGCGAGAGAGCACGCAAAAUGAGGAGA